UUUCCAGAGGCUGGCGGCUGAGAUUGUGGGCAUCAAGCUGAAUAAGGCUGAGAUGGAGCAGGCUCAGCGUAUUGUCAAAGCAGAGUUGGUGGACUAUCCUCAGGAUGAGGGACCAAUCAGACAAGAGACCAACCAAAGCAAGAUCUGCUCUGUCCAAUAACACUCGUGGUUAAAGC